ensembl:lncRNA
CUUUUGUAUAUAUUUCUGAUGUGAACAUAGUUUCUGAACUUUUCUAACAUCAUAGUUUUGUUAACUCUUCUGAGCACAGUUUUGCAAAUAACACAUUAUUAUUAAGCUUUAGUUUUAAUUUUCACGUAAUCACUUGACUGAGACUUUGAUGACUGACGACAUGGACGGAGAAUUUAACAGAGACACUGUUGAUGAUGGGUGGGGUCCGAACAGCCCACUAAAAACAGUAGAAGCUCAACUGAUUAUUUUAGAGAAAGCGCUGCAUCAGGCUUUUGACUCUAAAACCGCAUCUGAAGAGAUGACUCAGAUGAGGGAGGCAGUCAUUAAUUUGCUGGGAGAAAUAGGCCGUGGCAUGAAAGAUAGAGGUUGUUUACAGAAGGAGUUUUGGAGAAAGGAGGGUGAAGCGAAGGCAGAGAGGGAGAAGGCCAGGAAGAGUGCAGAGCAGUGUGGCUGGUCUAAGAAAGGGAGAUUUAAGAGGGAGCAGGAAAAAGCAGAGGAGAAGAGAGCUCAGUGGGCGCGAUGGGCUUUGAUAGGUCAGGGUGUAACUCACCUCAUGACUGAGAAGCCCAAAACACAGGAUGCCAAAGCAGAAAAACCUAAGGAUCCCCCACCGUAUACACCACCCCCUCCUACUGCACCACCAUCCUCUCAUUCAUCUGCUGGAUUAUAUCCAGUUUUACAAAUAACUCAAGGCACACUGGCCAUAACAGACAUGCCUGAUUCCCCUGAGGCGUGGUCUGAUGACAGCUCUCACACGUCCCAAGUGAGUAGUGUGUCUGCUUUACCCUCGGGAGUUAGCACCCGUGAAGGGCCUCCAGAGGCCCCUGCCCUUUCACCUUUCCAGCUGCGAAAGGACAGAGAACUGAGCUGCGACGGAGCACUAUGUGUUGCAGCUGAAGCCCCGCUGUCACACAGAACACAGACACCAGACAUUGUGAACACAAAGCAGGGAGAAAUAGACAAGGUGCAACAGUUGCAGGAGGAAUUAAAGGAGUUGCGGGCUGCUAUAGCUCAGGACUUAACACCACACACAUAUGCACACGCUAACCCCCAAUUUGGAGACGCUACACUUCACGUGGGAGGCGUGUGGAAAGAUGGAUCACAGGAAGGGAGGACAGCUGGAAUUCAGAUGCAGGUCGAGGGUGUUUGGUCCGCGGAGCAGGGAGAGACGUUUGAACUAUUACAGAGACAGGCCAAGGCUACUGAGGAGUGGUUGAAAACACAUGAAGCUGAACACUUAGCACACAGAAACAAAACACACCACAUGACAACUAGAUCUCAAGGACAUGAUAACACACAGACACUCAACUAUCAGUUACCACUGAUUCAAACUGAACACCAGAUCAAAUAUCGUCCAUUCCCACUAGGUGAUGUACAGGCACUAGUGGAUAAAUUACCUCCAGUGGCCGAAGGUGGAGCAAUGUGGCUGAGUCAACUUGACAGUCUGACAGCAGGCCACAGACUCGCUCUAGGUGAUUUUCGGGCCGUUAUUUCUAGGUGUCUUACAGCUUCAGAAGUGAGGGACAUAGAGGAGGACGCCACCACUACUAGACAGAGAGAUGACACACCUUUCACUCAGGUCAGCACUGAAAUAGGCAGAGCACUAAGACAUAAAUAUCCUCUGCCUGCUGGAGCCGCCGUUCCCACUUUGAGAUAGGACCCCAAACAGAGUCCAAGAGAAUAUCUUAAUCAAAGCAAAGACACAUGGAUCAAACACACCGGGUGCCACCCUGGUAACCCAGGCAUUCAGAGGGUG